rnacentral:rRNA from 1 species
CCUACGGGGAGCAGCAGUGAGGAAUAUUGGUCAAUGGCCGGAAGGCUGAACCAGCCAUGCCGCGUGAAGGUCAGUGCCCUAUGGGCGUUAAACUUCUUUUGUGCGGGAGCAAUAAUGGUCACGUGUGGCCAGACGAGAGUACCGUACGAAUAAGCAUCGGCUAACGCCGUACCAGCAGCCGCGGUAAUACGGGGGAUGCAAGCGUUAUCCGGAUUUAUUGGGUUUAAAGGGUGCGUAGGCUGUGAGGUAAGUCAGCGGUAAAAUGUCCGGGCUCAACCCGGGCCGGCCGUUGAUACUGGGGAUCUUGAGUGGGCGUGAGGUAUGCGGAAUGCGUGGUGUAGCGGUGAAAUGCAUAGAUAUCACGCAGAACUCCGAUUGCGAAGGCAGCAUACCGGCGCCCGACUGACGCUGAGGCACGAAAGCGUGGGGAUCGAACAGGAUUAGAUACCCGAGUAGUC